rnacentral:rRNA from 1 species
CUAGGACGAACGCUGGCGGCGUGCCUAACACAUGCAAGUCGAGCGGUCUUAUUGAUGAAAGCUUGCUGGAUUCGAUGAGAUAGCGGCGGACGGGUGAGUAACGCGUGAGCAAUCUGUCCCUCACAGGGGGAUAAUACCGCGAAAGUGGUUCUAAUACCGCAUGAGACCACGGAUGGGCAUCCAUUUGGGGGUCAAAGGAGCAAUCCGGUGAGGGGUGAGCUCGCGUCCGAUUAGAUAGUAGGUGAGGUAACGGCCCACCUAGUCGACGAUCGGUAGCCGACCUAAGAGGGUGAUCGGCCACAUUGGGACUGAGACACGGCCCAGACUCCUACGGGAGGCAGCAGUGGGGAAUAUUGGGCAAUGGGGGGAAACCCUGACCCAGCAACGCCGCGUGGAGGAAGAAGGUCUUCGGAUCGUAAACUCCUGUCCUAAGGGAAGAGGAGAAGACUGUACCUUAGGAGGAAGCCCCGGCUAACUACGUGCCAGCCGCAGC